rnacentral:rRNA from 1 species
CUGCAUGGCUGUCGUCAGCUCGUGUCGUGAGGUGUUGGGUUAAGUCCCGCAACGAGCGCAACCCUCGCCCUUAGUUGCCAGCAUUAGUUGGGCACUCUAAGGGGACUGCCGGUGAUAAGCCGAGAGGAAGGUGGGGAUGACGUCAAGUCCUCAUGGCCCUUACGGGCUGGGCUACACACGUGCUACAAUGGUGGUGACAGUGGGCAGCGAGCACGCGAGUGUGAGCUAAUCUCCAAAAGCCAUCUCAGUUCGGAUUGCACUCUGCAACUCGAGUGCAUGAAGUUGGAAUCGCUAGUAAUCGCGGAUCAGCAUGCCGCGGUGAAUACGUUCCCGGGCCUU